rnacentral:rRNA from 1 species
UACGUAGGGUGCGAUCGUUAAUCGGAAUUACUGGGCGUAAAGCGUGCGCAGGCGGUUUUGUAAGCCAGGUGUGAAAUCCCCAGGCUCAACCUGGGAAUGGCAUUUGGGACUGCAAGGCUGGAGUGCGGCAGAGGAGACUGGAAUUCCUGGUGUAGCAGUGAAAUGCGUAGAUAUCAGGAGGAACACCGAUGGCGAAGGCGGCACUCUGGGACGGUACUGACGCUGAGACGCGAAAGCGUGGGGAGCAAACAGG